rnacentral:rRNA from 1 species
GACGAACGCUGGCGGCGUGCUUCAUACAUGCAAGUCGAACGAGAAGCUGACUUCGGUCAGUGGAAAGUGGCGGACGGGUGAGUAAUAUGUAGGAAAUCUGCCUUUAGGAGGGGGACAACAGAGGGAAACUUCUGCUAAUACCCCAUAUGAGCGUAGCUGACAUGCUAUUCUUGAAAACUCCGGUGCCUAAAGAUGAGCCUGCAUCUGAUUAGCUAGUUGGUAGUGUAAUGGACUACCAAGGCGACGAUCAGUAGCUGGUUUGAGAGGAUGAUCAGCCACAAGGGGACUGAGACACGGCCCAUACUCCUACGGGAGGCAGCAGUAGGGAAUUUUGCGAAAUGGGCGAAAGCCUGACGCAGCAACGCCGCGUGAACGAUUAAGCCCUUCGGGGUGUAAAGUUCUGUCAGUGGGGACGAAACUUGACGGUACCCACAGAGGAAGCACCGGCUAACUCCGUG